AUUAUUUUUUAUUGUUGAAAAAAUUAAAAAUAAAUUGUUUAAAACAAAAAUUAAAAUUUAUAAUAUUUCUGUUUUUUAUUUUUAGUUAAAAAUAAAAAUAAUAAAUAUGAAAAAUAGAAAAAUUUUGUUAUAAAUUAAAUUGGUUUUUUAAAAUUAAAAAUAUUUUUUAUAAAUUUAUUUUUUUUUAUUUUUUUAGAAAAAAAAAAAUUUAAUUAUUAUUAUUGAAAUUAAUUUAAUUAUUUAGUAAAAAAUUUUAUAUUAAAUAAAUUAAAUAAUAAAUGUUUUUUAAAUUCUUUGGGGAUUUAUUUUUUGAUUUUUUAUUUCUGCUCAUUGUUAAAGAAAAGCACUUUUAGCGUGAUUUGUCAAAGGUAGCGAGGUAAUUUGUUUUUUUAUUGAAUUCUAGUAUGAAUGGAAUUUUUGUUAUUUAAUAUAUUUGAUUAAAAAAGAAUUUUGAAUUUAUUUAAAAAAUAAUAAAUUUUAUAAAACUAAGAAAAGUCUUUAAAA
rnacentral:rRNA from 1 species